rnacentral:rRNA from 1 species
CCUACGGGUGGCUGCAGUGAGGAAUAUUGGUCAAUGGACGCAAGUCUGAACCAGCCAUGCCGCGUGCGGGAUGAAGGCUCUAUGGGUUGUAAACUGCUUUUGUACGAGGAUAAACUCAGAGACGCGUCUCGGUCUGAAAGUAUCGUACGAAUAAGGAUCGGCUAACUCCGUGCCAGCAGCCGCGGUAAUACAGAGGAUUCGAGCGUUAUCCGGAUUUAUUGGGUUUAAAGGGUGCGUAGGCGGUCGGAUAAGUUAGAGGUGAAAUCCUGGGGCUCAACUUCGGAAUUGCCGCUGAUACUGUUCGGCUAGAGAGUAGUUGCGGUAGGCGGAAUGUAUGGUGUAGCGGUGAAAUGCUUAGAGAUCAUACAGAACCCCGAUUGCGAAGGCAGCUUACCAAGCUACUUCUGACGUUGAGGCACGAAAGCGUGGGGAGCAAACAGGAUUAGAUACCCGAGUAGUC